CCAGACAGAUGGACCAUUUUUCCUUUCAAUUUACUGAGACAGAGAAGAAUUGAGGACUGAAGCAUGUCAUCACUGUAUCAUUUCCUCCUGAAUGUAUGAAAUCCUAACAGCUUAGAAUCAAGCACAGUUCUUGGCAUACAACAGGAGGAGAUUGAUAGUCUGUUGACUGAGUGAAUGAAUGAAUAAAUAAGGAGAUGAAAUUACUUUCUUCCACUGAAGAAGCUGCCCGCUGGGAAGGAGACAUGAACACUAAUUUUAAAAUGUUGAGUGCUGCUGGGAGGCUAGCCUGCACAGUGAGUCACAGUGGAGCUGUUCUGGACAACUAGGAAGCGUUGGCCAUCAUGAACAACAGGCUGGCAGAAACCAGUGGGGACAGGUCCAGCUGGAGAGCUGCCCCCAGGACCAAAUCUUUGGGACAAGCCUGACCAGCAUGAAAAUCAGCCAGAGGUGGUUCCACUGGUGGAUUCCCAGGAUCAGCAUCCAGAGUCCCCUGAAGAGCUAGAACCACUUCCAUUGAAGCAGGAGGUUUCGACUCAGCCUCCAUAGCCCCCGGAGAUGGAUGAGAACUACACAAACCAGCAGGUGGCCCUGGCUGAGCCUUCCUACACUCCUGAAGAGGCUGAGCCUCUAGUCCAGGAGGAAGCCCUAGCUCCAUCUUCAGCGCACCCUCAGGGGACACUUCCACAUCCCGGGCAGGUUCCCAGUCAGCGUCCAAACC